rnacentral:rRNA from 1 species
CGGCGGAGCGGUUUGGCACCUCGAUGUCGGCUCAUCGCAUCCUGGGGCUGAAGGCGGUCCCAAGGGUUAGGCUGUUCGCCUAUUAAAGCGGUACGCGAGCUGGGUUCAGACCGGCGUGAGCCAGGUCGGUCCCUAUCUGCUGUGAGCGUUGCAAACUUGAGAGGAGUCAACCUUAGUACGAGAGGACUGGGUUGGACCGAUCCCUGGUGAUCCUGUUGGGCUGCUAAGCCCACCGCAGGGUAGCUACAUCGGGCAGGGAUAACCGCUGAAAGCAUCUAAGCGGGAAGCCCCCC